AUUAAAUAAAAUAUGAAAAUGCGUUUAUGUGAUGCUUUUAACACAGUGAAACAUCCCAAGCUGCUUCCCAGAAGCAUUGUCAUAUGAAACUCUGAAAAUUAACUACGUGAGAAGACAUUAGGGCAAAUGACUAAAACUAGAUGUCUAAAAGAGGGCCGGAAAACUAGAAAUUCCUGAUAAUUUUUGCCCAACAUGUCUUAAGUUAAUGGCUACGACUAGAGAUGUCCUAAGCUCCAACCUGCAAGAUCAUGGUCAGCAGAUUUGGAUCCUACACAACAGAUUGUAUCUAUAUUCCUGUAAGGACUCCAUUCCAUUCUCCCAAUCUCCAUCUCCACUGUUCUUAU